UACGUAGGGGGCAAGCGUUGUCCGGAUUUAUUGGGCGUAAAGAGCGUGUAGGCGGCCUGGUAGGUCAGCUGUGAAAACUCGAGGGCUCAACCUCGAGACGCCGGUUGAAACCAUCAGGCUAGAGUCCGGAAGAGGAGAGUGGAAUUCCCGGUGUAGCGGUGAAAUGCGCAGAUAUCGGGAAGAACACCCGUGGCUAAGGCGGCUCACUGGACUGGUAUUGACGCUGAGGUGGCGAAAGCGUGGGGAGCAAACAGGGAUUAAGAAAC
rnacentral:rRNA from 1 species